AGCAGCCGCGGUAAUUCCAGCUCCAAUAGCGUAUAUUAAAGUUGUUGCAGUUAAAGAGCUCGUAGUUGAAUUUCGGGAUCAAUUGAUUGGUCAUGCCUACGGUAUGUACUAGUCAUAUUGGUUCUCACCUUCUAAUGAACCUUAAUGUCAUUCACUUGAUGUUUUGGGGAAUUAGGACUGUUACCUUGAAAAAUUAGAGUGUUUAAAGCAGGCUUACGCUUGAAUACACUAGCAUGGAAUAAUGAAAUAGGACAUCGCAUUCUAUUUUGUUGGUUUCUAGGAUCGAUGUAAUGAUUAAUAGGGAUAGUUGGGGGCAUUAGUAUUCAAUUGUCAGAGGUGAAAUUCUUGGAUUUAUUGAAGACUAACUACUGCGAAAGCAUUUGCCAAGGAUGUUUUCAUUAAUCAAGAACGAAAGUUAGGGGAUCGAAGACGAUCAGAUACCGUCGUAGUCUUAACCAUAAACUAUGCCGACUAGGGAUCGGAUGAUGUAAUUUUAAAUGACU
rnacentral:rRNA from 1 species